rnacentral:rRNA from 1 species
AUUGAACGCUGGCGGCAGGCCUAACACAUGCAAGUCGAGCGGAGCGGCGGACGGGUGAGUAAUGCCUAGGAAUCUGACUGGUAGUGGGGGAUAACGUUCGGAAACGGGCGCUAAUACCGCAUACUAUCAGCUGAGCCUAGGCCGGAGUAGCUAGUUGGUGGGGUAAAGGUCUACCAAGGCGACGAUCCGUAACUGGUCUGAGAGGAUGAUCAGUCACACUGGAACUGAGACACGGUCCAGACUCCUACGGGAGGCAGCAGUGGGGAAUAUUGGACAAUGGGCGAAAGUCUGACCGAGCAACGCCGCGUGAGUGAAGAAGGUUUUCGGAUCGUAAAGCUCUGUUGUUAGAGAAGCGGUAUCUAACCAGAAAGCACCGGCUAACUACGUGCCAGCAGCCGCGGUAAUAC